UGUUCACAUGGACAGACUUCAUUUCCCUGCUGGCAGAUAGUACUCAUUUUGGUGUUUUCCCUUUAGAACUAGGGUGAGUCCUUUCCAUGAAUGGAGAGUAGAUUCUUUCAACCAGUAGAUCCUGAGUAGCUGGCAAAAACAGAAUCCAAAAGAAGUUGGGUAGGGUAUCCAGCUACAUGACUCACACAUUAGUCCAUGUUGUUUCUCAGCUGGAUUUUCUGCUUUCCUCAGUUUCAGUUUUCAGAGUACAAGUGCUAGGCACUGGAGGUGGUUAUGGAGAGAGGGAAGGCUAAGAUGUCUCUUGCUGUGGCCCAUUUGCCUUUUCUGUGGUUUGGAUGGAUCAGGGGGAGCUCCAGUCCAGAUAGCUACAUGAUGUGCGAGGGGAUUGGAAGAAAGAAACAUGCUGUGGUUGACACUUGCACAGCUUCAGAGAUGUCUCCUGGUGUCACUAGGUGCUUUCUCAUCCAGAUCUGGACUUCCUCUUUUCUGCCUAGCAGGCUCUUCUCUGUGAUGGCUUCUAUUAGAUGGGGAAAUAAACGUGUAGAAAGGCCUGCUGACACGUGGCUUCAAAUCCUCUGGCAGAACACAGACUUCGCCCAUCUCUGCUGCAUUCCCUGGGUCGCCCUCGUCCCCUGUUGCUCCCCCAGUGCUGCACUUCCCUUUGUGGACAGGAGAGUGCAUUCCCCAGCAUGGAAAGCUGUGAGGAAAGGAGGUUGCAUGGAAAGAACUGUAAGGUGCUGCAUGAGGACAGAAGGGAACCAUGCCCCUGUGGCACUCGGGGAGGGACAGGUUUUGUCGCUCAUCUGAUUCCACUUGGCUGGCGAAGGGUUGGCACAGCACGCAAAAGCCACAGGUGCAAAGAUCAGGCUGACUCAGACCGAGGGGAGAAUCCAGCAGCGGUCAGAGAGCAGAGUGUAGAGGAGAGGCGGCAGCGGGAUGCAGGAGUGUCACCAGCUGUAGGUCUUGAACGUGCGUGGUAGGCUGGAGUCCUCCCAGGUAGGCACACACAGCAAGGUGUUCCCGUGCCUUGCCCGAGUAAACAGCAGCCGGGCACGCAGGGGAGGGGAAGUCAAGCUGCCUGUCCAAGUGCUGCCCUCUGUGAAAAACAGUGACGGGGCAGAUGGGUUUGAAUAACCAUUGGGUCCCUACCUUACACCCACCACAUCCAGGUCCACAUCGGGAUAGCUGAACACCCUCAGGUCUCUGAAGCAGACUCACCUGGGACUGGCCGGCAUCUCCGUGCAGGAAAUGCCCUGAGCAUUGUGGUUUGCGGCACUGCUUCUGUUAGAAAACAGUCCCAAAGGGGACUUUGGGGUGAAAUGAUUGCUCGGUGUUUGGGUAGUGGUUAUGGGAAGACCCUCCUGGGACACUUCAGGGCUGUGCAUUUACUCCUAAGGCUUUUAGCCGAAAAUAGUGUUCCUCUAUGCGAGGAGUUAAAUCGAAGAGCCCCCUCCACAGAGUCACUUCACAGGCAGGAUGCUGUAGUGUUUUUAAGACUCUGCAGCUAAUGAGAUGUCAUUUUCUGACAGGGGAAGCGCGGCCGUGGCAGAUAUGUAGUCAGAAGGACCUAGAGGGACCCUGCAGAGCUGACAGCGGGCCCUGCUUAGUGCCCGCCCCCCCCCCCCCCGCUCCGCCGCGGCAAGCAGUCCAAACAAAACAGUAGCAGUGGGACAAAGGAAGAGGAAUGUGCGCAGCGUGUGCCCGGCCACGUGUGCGUGUGCCUGAGUGUGUGUGUGUGUGUGCGCGCACGUGGGCGCGUGCCCUGCAGCAUGUGCAUGUGCGCGUGUGCCCAGCGGUGCGCGCACACGCGUGUGUGCACGUGCGUGUGCCCCGCAGCGUGUGUGACCCGCAGGGGUCCCGGCGGGGGUGACACCGCGCAGCCCCGCGGUGACAAAGGCGCGGCGCGGCCCGCCUCUCUCCCCCAUUCACAACCCGCGGCCGGCCGGCGGCGCGGACGGAUUUUUUUUUUGUGAAUGGAGGCGGUGACGUCGCC
rnacentral:lncRNA from 13 species